rnacentral:lncRNA from 1 species
AGCACAAGUAUUGCCAGUCGCCUCCGUCUGGGUACCAGCCCCCUAUUACUCUGCAGGCGCGUGAGGGAAGAAGGAAAGUAGCCUGGGACCCCUGCAGGUUUGUAGAUCCGUUGGCCUGUAGGUCGCCCGGAAAAGUCUCCGCGAAGGAAGGGAGCAAAGUGCCUCGGGACCUUGCAGCUGGCUGGCUGCCUGGCUUUCCAUGUGUCCUUCUGCCAGACUGGCCAUCAGUCACUGGAAGGAGGAUUAACCACGGAAGACAGAGAAGAAGAAGGAAUUCACCUGGUCUUGCUAGAGAUUCAUCACAAGACAGCUCCAGGAGCCCGGGAUAG